rnacentral:rRNA from 1 species
UUGCUAGUAAUCGCGAAUCAGAAUGUCGCGGUGAAUACGUUCCCGGGCCUUGUACACACCGCCCGUCACACCAUGAGAGUCGAUAACACCCGAAGCCUGUGAGCUAACCUUUUAGGAGGCAGCAGUCGAAGGUGGGGUUGAUGAUUGGGGUGAAGUCGUAACAAGGUAUC